GAUGAACGCUGGCGGCGUGCCUAAUACAUGCAAGUCGAGCGAACAGACAAGGAGCUUGCUCCUUUGACGUUAGCGGCGGACGGGUGAGUUACACGUGGAUAACCUACCUAUAAGACUGGGAUAACUUCGGGAAACCGGAGCUAAUACCGGAUAAUAUAUUGAACCGCAUGGUUCAAUAGUGAAAGGCGGCUUUGCUGUCACUUAUAGAUGGAUCCGCGCCGGAUUAGCUAGUUGGUAAGGUAACGGCUUACCAAGGCAACGAUGCGUAGCCGACCUGAGAGGGUGAUCGGCCACACUGGAACUGAGACACGGUCCAGACUCCUACGGGAGGCAGCAGUAGGGAAUCUUCCGCAAUGGGCGAAAGCCUGACGGAGCAACGCCGCGUGAGUGAUGAAGGUCUUCGGAUCGUAAAACUCUGUUAUCAGGGAAGAACAAAUGUGUAAGUAACUAUGCACGUCUUGACGGUACCUAAUCAGAAAGCCACGGCUAACUACGUG
rnacentral:rRNA from 1 species